UUAAGAGCUGUGGUGGCGCAGUGGUUAGAAUGCAGUAUUGCAGGCUAAUUCUGCCCACAGCCUGGAGUUCGAUCCUGAGCGGAUCAAGGCUGACUCAUCCUUCCAUCCUUCCAAGGGUUUAUUUAUAAUUUGAGAAGCAAAGCAAAUGAGAGAAAAAGAAUAUGGAUUUCUAACAGACUGGAGAUCCACCAGAGUGAUGAACAUCAAGUGAAGUGCUAAAUGAAGUGAGCAGCAAACACUUCAAAUUCCCAGUUGAACAGAGUGAGAUCUACGUUUCACUUAUUUUCCACCCAGCUUCUCUUCGUCUGUGUUCCCUCUCUUCUGUUCCUUCCUCUUUCCAGACUAGUUUGUCCUAGCUCAGGCAGCCAUGGUUUGCUUAAAUAGGUUUGCUAGGCAAAUCACAAGUGUUUGGACUCGCACAAUACACCAAGCCAAAUGCUCAGAAUUCAAAACGCAUUUACCAACAUGUUUCUUUUGUGUUCAUCAAAGUCCCCAGCUUAUCUGAAUGUUAGUUUUUUUUAAAAAAAUAAUGAUUUUUUAAAAUGAGAACAUUGGUUGCUAGAGAGCAAAAUGCCAGCCUGAUCUUUAUUUCAACAAUAUCUCCCAGCCUCAUAUAGACAACAAAAUGGUUUUCGAAUACUGUGUAUAAAAUGGUGAAUG